GGCGGCGGAUGCCCCACGCCCGCUACCCCCGCUCACCAUCUUUCCCGGCCGGCAGCACCGAAAAGACCGAGCCCCGCCCCGCUUCCGCCACGACAGCCUAUUCCGGGGGCGGUGCCACCACUGUAACCCUUAAAUCGCUGAAGCACAUUGCGCAGCGCCCCGUCCAGGUGCCGCUUAAACGUUUGGAGGGGCUGCACUAUCUUCCUGGGCAACCUAUUCCUGUGCCUGACCCCCCCGGGCAGUGAAAAUUUUUUUUCUAACGUCUAAUCUGAAUUUCUCGUGCCUCAGCUUGAGGCCAUUGCCUCUUGUCCCCUCGCUGCAGGCACGGCAGAAGAGACAGACACCCCCCCUCACUACAGCCUCCUGUCGGCUAGUUAUAGAGAGCGAUCUCAGAAAUCUGGAAGAUGCCAUGAACAUUGGACAGAUGCCAUGGCAACAGCCUCCAAAGGAAGUCUGUUGAUUUGGCUGCCUGCAAGAAUAUGCUGCUAGAGGAAUUAUUCUUGUCCUUUGUAGGGUAAAAAUGAUCUUCUGUAUUUACGUGUCUUCAAAUCUGUUUGGAAAAAAGAUUUUUGGUACCAUCAUGCAGUUGUCUUUAGUAUUCAGGAAGACUGUAUACUUUUAGGGUAGAGAAUGGGCAGAGCUGUGGCCGACCCAGUAUUAUUCAGAAGCUCUUAGUCCCUGCAAAUGUCUCUUAAUACAUUGCCCAUAGUGAACUCCUGCCUGCUCAGAACCCACAGGCUUAUGUACUGGCAGCUGCUAAAGUCUAAAUUUAGCACUGACUAAUUCACACUGCUUCUUUGUUGCAUAGGAAUUAGUCCAACAUUUAGAAGGCGACAUGUCUGGACGUCAGAACUGUCUUUUUGAUGUAGGAAACAGUAGUCUGUCACUGCAGCCGGUACCCCAUCACAGCUUCUGCACAAGGAGUUUGGUCCAGCAAGAUUUGUUGGUGGGAGAAACCCUUUGUCACGCCAGCAAACAAUGAUCCUAUUAAUCAUCUAGAUUCGGAUUUAUCGAAUGCUGUGCACCAUGUUCUGCAGCCUGUCUGAUCUGGGUGGGAUUAAAAAACUGAAGUAAAAAAUAGGUAUGCCCUUAAAGAUAAGCCUUAGAGAUGAGUCUAGCUCAGGGACAGGGAAACCAAAACCAGGGCUGGCUAGACAUUAAAGAGGAAGGUGUGUAUGAGCACCAAAUAACCUCAGUGGCAUUUGUUUUGCUCAGGUUUAAAGUUAUGCUACUACAUCAUGCCGUCACUGGAGUGCAGUUCAGCCAGACAGGCCCUGAUGUGACCAUGGUCUGUUGUGCAUUGUUGCACCAAAGCACAAUUCUUAGAGGGGGUUUCACUGCCUGGCCUCAAGCUCACAGAGGAGGUUGCAUGGGCCUUUGGGCUGAGCACCAGACCGGGUGUGUGGGAGAAAGCCACAAGUUCCUUUAUAAGAAAUUAUCGAAAUCUUGUCUGAGUUACAGCAAGACAUAGCCUAUAUCUAAGCCCAAGCAUCGUGGAUGAAAUCUGCUAAAUUGGAAGCCGAGUGUCUAAACUUUCAAUGUCAGUUCUUUUAUACUUCCAAAUGUUCUGUAUGACUGAUACACAGGCAAUAUCUUUGGAAAAGAAAUACAAUAUCAGCUGGUUGGGAAAAAUCCAACUCCUUCCUGCAGAAAUGUUGAAGGAAAAGUCUAUAUGAGAAGCUCAGGAAAGGAAGCCAACUUGAAUUUAAAGUUAUAUUCAAACAGUUGGCUAUCUUACCAUCUAAAUUUUCUCACUUUUUAUGUGGAAUUGCUUGCCUAGUUAUGUCUCUGGCAUCACAUUCCCUUGUGUUAUUCAGCUGUGCUCCAAGUGCAUAUGUGAAUGACUUUAUCUUUAGUAAAAGUAUGAUUUUACUAAAUGUGAAUGAUUUUACUUAUCACCAGCCAUUCCUUAGGACAUGACCUGAUGUUCUUCUCCUGGAAAUGUUGGAAAAAUGCACAUGCAUGCCUUAUUACACUGCCUUCUGUCUCCCAAGGUAGGCAGGUAAUUCAGUUUUACAAGAUCCAUCCAGGUUUGGCACCUGUUAGUGUUAAAAGCACGGAUACGGCAUAUACCUGGUACAGUACAUUUUCAAACUUUUCGUGUAUGUUGCAAUUAGAAGUAUCCAA